rnacentral:rRNA from 1 species
CCUACGGGUGGCAGCAGUGAGGAAUAUUGGUCAAUGGCCGAGAGGCUGAACCAGCCACGUCGCGUGAGGGAAGAAGGCUCUACGGGUUGUAAACCUCUUCUGUCGGGGAGCAAAGCGAGUCACGUGUGCCGCCUUGCGAUUACCCGAAGUAAAAGCAUCGGCUAACCCCGUGCCAGCACCCGCGGGACGAGGGGGGAUGCGAGCGUUAUAGGGAUUGGAUGGGGUUAAAGGGUGCGCGGGCGGAGGUGAAAGUCAGCGGGCAAAUUGCGGGGCGCACCCCCGCACUGCCGUUGAAACUGCAUCACUUGAGUGCGCGAGAGGUAUGCGGAAUGCGUGGUGUAGCGGUGAAAUGCGUAGAUAUCACGCAGAACUCCGGUUGCGAAGGCAGCAUACCGGCGCGCAACUGACGCUGAUGCACGAAAGCGUGGGGAUCGAACAGGAUUAGAUACCCGUGUAGUC